rnacentral:piRNA from 1 species
UGGUAUAGAACUCAGAAAAGGCUUACAGUA